AUGGGCCGAGUGAACAAGCCCUCCUCUCUGAAGGUGAUUCCGGAGGAGAAAGCUGACGUGAAGAUGCUGAUGGAGCGUGUAGUUCAGUUGGUUCGGGAGGGAGUGACGGGUAUGGAUCUCCUGGAGGUUUUUCUUAGGCGUCGUAUCCAGCCUCUUCAGUUCCGGAGCCAUUGCAUGUGGUUGUACCGCGGGACUGAGGAUGAGACUCGGGUCAAUCCAGAAGCAGUCGACGAUGCCACUCUGGAAAGGUGGAUGGCCGCUGUUACUGGGAACAAGGAUAACCCUCGUGGAUCCAGAAGGAUUCCUCCACUCGACCACCACAGUGAUCCAAACAAGGUCCUCACUGAGCUGUACUCGAUGCCCAAUGGAGCACAGGCUCCGACUGAGGAGGGAGAAGCGAGCGGGGGCGAGAGCCAGGAGGAGGAGUGGGACUUCGACGCCGCUGAGGAUGAUGAUGAUGACGAUGACGACGAUGAUGAUGAUGAUGAGGACGAAGAAGAGGAGGAGGAGGAGGUCGCACCACCGCGCUCGGAAAGGCGGUCGAAGCUUGUCCAUGACCCUGCGACUGAACGUGGCAAGGGGGUUGCGACUGUUACACAGUCGACCAAGCGCCCUUGGACCACCUCUCCGGCGCCGACUGAAAAGGCGUCAAAGCAGCCCAGGGCGGCCCCGUCAAAGCCGACCAAGCUCCUGCCGAAGAUGAAGGUGUCCAUCCCCACCAUAUCAGGUGCUACUACUUCUGAGACCUCAGCCCGGGCUGACGACCAUGAGAUGGAGGACGCAGCAACCUCAAAACCUGCUCCAUCCAAUGUUGUUAUCACUCUCCCUGAUGAUGAUGAAGAUGAGGAACUGCUGAAGCACAGAAGGAGUAGGAAAACGUCUGCCGGCAGGGUGCCCCAGGAUGUGACGGUGCCUGAGACUCUGGUCGCGGAGGAGGAGAACACCACUCGACACACUGUGUCCUUCGCAGAUCCACUGACGAGUGCUCUGCAGCCCUCCCUCUUCACGACGCACUACGUCCCAGAGGAGCAAGCUGGCGCCGCGAAGGAGGCGAUACGCUAG
rnacentral:rRNA from 1 species